rnacentral:misc_RNA from 1 species
AACGCACAUUGCACUCCUUGGUAUUCCGGGGAGUAUGCUUGUCCGAGCGUCAUUUCACCUCUCAAGCUUAUGCUUGGUAUUGGAUAUUAUCGUGACAAACGAUAUUUCCGAAAACGAGUGGCAAGUUGUUGAACUUUAGCGAAUUGAAAUAUUGUCGUGUCGAGUAUCAUCAGCUUUGCCAAAAAAACAAUUUCAAAAUCUUGACCUCGGAUCAAGUAGGGAUACCCGCUGAACUUAA